rnacentral:rRNA from 1 species
CCUAAGACAUGCAAGUCGUACGAGGUGGCCCUUUGAACUCUGUACUUGUAUAGAGCGAUUUGGAUUUCCACCUAGUGGCGAAAGGGUGAGUAACACGUGAGUAAUCUACCUCAGAGACUGGAAUAACUAUUGGAAACGAUAGCUAAUGCCGGAUGAUAUAUACAAUGAUACGUUGUUGUAUAGUAAAAGGAGCCUUUAAAGCUUCACUUUGAGAUGAGCUUGCGACGUAUUAGCUAGUUGGUGAGGUAAUGGCUUACCAAGGCGACGAUGCGUAGCCGACCUGAGAGGGUGAUCGGCCACACUGGGACUGAGACACGGCCCAGACUCCUACGGGAGACAGCAGUUAGGGAUAUUCGUCAAUGGAGGAAACUCUGAACGAGCAAUGCCGCGUGAGUGAUUGACAGUUCUAUGGAUUGUAAAACUCUGUUGUUAGGGACAAACGACCUGUAUAGGAAAUGAUACAGGAGUGACUGUACCUUUCAAGAAAGCUCCGGCUAACUACGUGCCAGCCGCGGC